CCUCUCCAGAGCGGUUUGACGCGUUCUACUCGACCUUGCGUGUGCAGUAACGUCUUGGCGGGGGGUUUGAGCUGCCAUAUGAAAACCAGGGUAAGCGUUUGCCUUUCCUCUGAGGAGGAAAGGGGUGAAAGAGUGUCAGUUUGGUCGUGAUGUAAGAGGCUGUUCCGCUGUGGAGCGACGCGACAGUUAAACGAAGAAACUUAGCCUCCUAAAAGAUGCCCAGAGUUUUAUCUGGACGAUUGACUUGAGGAAAAUUAGACACUGUUCAGCAUUUUGCCCAAAUGCGGCGUGAAAUCUGGGAAACCGUGUCGAGAGUAUCGCGACAGGUUCAUGCCAUGCGUAGCCUCAUGACAACGUUCAGAGGUUGUACAGGUGGGCUAGUUUAUUCGGUACGUGCCGUGUAACGCUGCCGGAGACAUCAUUUUUCUCUUGUGUUUAGUGAGUGGUUUCCUCUUUUGAGGGGGCAGUGGUUGUCGUGUUCAUCACCAGUGUACUGUGGACCAGGAUGUGCCACAAGAAGAGGGAAUGCGAACAAGAAAUCUAGGCACUAUGGGUCUGUUGCUCUUGCCAAUGUCUCCCGGCACCAACUUCAAAUAGUAGCCGUUGAUAUGAUAUCUUCUACCUACCACACACAAGAAGCGGAGACAACGAACGCGGCGACAGUGGAGCGACAGCUCUGGAGGAUUGCACAGCAUUAACUUCGGUCGGUUCCAUGCCUCUCUACGCACGAUUUUUUUGUAACCGUGCUGAGCUCGAGCUCUCUGUUCGCUGGCGGAUUUUCC
rnacentral:lncRNA from 1 species